rnacentral:rRNA from 1 species
UACGUAGGGUGCAAGCGUUAAUCGGAAUUACUGGGCGUAAAGCGUGCGCAGGCGGUUUUGUAAGUCAGAUGUGAAAUCCCCGGGCUUAACCUGGGAACUGCGUUUGAAACUACAAGGCUAGAGUGUGGCAGAGGGGGGUGGAAUUCCACGUGUAGCAGUGAAAUGCGUAGAGAUGUGGAGGAACACCGAUGGCGAAGCCAGCCCCCUGGGUUAACACUGACGCUCAGGCACGAAAGCGUGGGGAGCAAACAGG